rnacentral:rRNA from 1 species
GGGCCCGCACAAGCGGUGGAGCAUGUGGUUUAAUUCGAUGAUACGCGAGGAACCUUACCAAGGCUUAAAUGUAAUACGACCGAUUGAGAAAUCAAUCUUUUUUCGAACGGAUUACAAGGUGCUGCAUGGUUGUCGUCAGCUCGUGCCGUGAGGUGUCGGGUUAAGUCCCAUAACGAGCGCAACCCCUAUUUUUAGUUGCCAGCGAGUAAUGUCGGGAACUCUAGAAAGACUGCCUGUGUAAACAGAGAGGAAGGUGGGGAUGACGUCAAAUCAUCACGGCCCUUAUGUCUUGGGCUACACACGUGCUACAAUGGUAAUUACAGUGGGAAGCCAUCUGGCGACAGAGAGCUAAUCCAUAAAAAUUAUCCCAGUUCGGAUCGGAGUCUGCAACUCGACUCUGUGAAGUUGGAAUCGCUAGUAAUCG